rnacentral:tRNA from 1 species
GGCAGGGUAGCUCAGUUGGUUAGAGCGGGCGUUUCAUAAGCGUCAGGUCGUGGGUUCGAAUCCCACCCCUGCUA